rfam:Oryza sativa (indica cultivar-group) chromosome 12, whole genome shotgun sequence.
AAUUUCAGCUAAAAAAGUCAUGAACAUAAAAGUUGUAGAACUCAUCAAGACAUACAACUUUUAUUUUGGUAAUUUCUUCAUUUGAUAAAGUGAUAGUAACAUUGUUCAUAAAAUUUACAUAUCUCUCUUAUAGUUUAUAAAACGAAAUGAGAGAUAUGUAAAUUUUGUGAACAAUGUUACUGUCACUUUUUCAGAUGAAGAAAUGACCAAAAUAAAAGUUAUAGAUCUUGAUGAGUUAUACAACUUUGUUGUUGAUGACUUUUUCAGUUGAAAUC